GACUUAAGCAUAUCACUAAGCGGAGGAAAAGAAACUAACUAGGAUUCCCCCAGUAACUGCGAGUGAAGAGGGAAGAGCUCAUCAUUGGAAUCUGGCAGUGUUUUCRCUGUCCGAGUUGUAGAUGAGGAGUAGUCCAUCUGGACUGCAUGGCGUCCAAGUACAAUAGGCCGUCAGUGGGACAUCAUAGAGGGUGACAAUCCCGUCCUUGAUGCCAAUGUGCAAGUCCGUUACGAUGGCUAUCUCAGAGAGUCGAGCAGUUUGGGAUUUGCUGCUUAAACAUGGGAGGUAGAUUCCUUCUAAAGCUAAAUACAGGCGAGAGACCGAUAGAGAACAAGUACCGCAAGGGAAAGAUGAAAUAGCACUCUGUGAAGGGAGUCAAAAGACGUGAAAUUGUUGCGAGAGAAGCGAUUCAAGUCAGCGUAGCUAGGCCCAUCAAGCCUCUUGCUUUGGACUAGCUUUGCCAGCGGUCUUGUCCUAAGAGACUUGACUUUAUGUCCAGCCUGGUAUGCACAGGUAGCCCCUCUCGGGGCCAGUGACAUGGCUGGUGGAAUGGCUUGCAAUCGACCCGUCUUGAAACACGGACCAAGGAGUCUAACAUGUAUGCGAGUAUAAGGGUGGCAAACCCGUAUGCGCAAUGAAAGUGAUUUUCGGUGAUUGAGAAUGGCCUGAUGACCAGACAAGCAAUAUUAUGUCCCUCGUACGGCCAUUGCCCAAGUUCCGUGGUAGAUCCCACGAACAUGGAGUUGGAGCAUACAUGCUAGGACCCGAAAGAUGGUGAACUAUGCCUGGACAAAGUGAAGCCAAAGGAAACUCUGGUGGAGGCUUGUAGCGAUUCUGACGUGCAAAUCGAUCGUCUGAUCUGGGUAUAGGGGCGAAAGACUAAUCGAACC
rnacentral:rRNA from 1 species